ACGAUCGCCGUGGCGUUCCUUCAACGUUACGUCGGCGUCCCGACAUUGGCAUCCAUCAUGACCUGUGGAUUGUCUGAGUCAUGCUGUGACUCAGACGUAUGAGGCUGAGCUGCAUGCAGCUGGGACGCUCCGUCUGCACAGCGUUCCUCGGGUUAAACAUCUGUCUUUCUGGACGGAGACGGCUUUCGUUGCAUGUUGGAAUCUACUCAAAGUCGCUGCUCCGACGUGGCAUUUACAAAAACAAACAACUCGAAACCCACAUUUUUUUGUGCGUCAGCUUUCAUUGACUUUUAUUUCCAUUGAUCCGGAUGCAGAAACACUCUCUGUUGUUUAUUUAGCUUUUGUUCUCUUUCCACUUUUUUUUGUGAAUAUGUACAUUUAUAAAUUAGAGGUAGACGAUACGGACUUCCAAGUCUUUUCACAUUUUGUGGUGAUAUUGUGAUAACCAUAAAAGUGGUGAUAAAAAUGAUUCACUUCAUGUUUUUGUAACUUUUUGGAAAAGAAGAAGUUUGAUUUGUAUCACUAAGUAACUGCAUUUAGUCACAUAUUCAAAAAUGUUUAACGCUUAUUGGUAAUGUCAUUGAAGAAAUAGUGGAGAAAAUAGCAAAAACUAACAAUCCCAACAAUAUGGAGAGUUUUUAAAUAUCAUUAAUGGGGAAUUUAUUGUGACAACGAUAAAUCCAAAUUCUUAUGACAAAACAUUUAUCACAAUAAAUGAUAAACAAUAUGAUAAAUUCCCUGUAAAAGGAUUUUCAUUAAAGUAAAGUUCCUGUUUCUGAUUAGUACAAUGGGCUCCUUCAUAUAAAGUACAAACAUGCAUGUACAGGCAGAGAAGCGUGUCCCAGUAGCCGUCCAUCCUCCUCCGCCAGGUCCAUGAAUAAUGCAGAACUCCCAUUUUCAUGCCACUUCGCAUCCCUUUCCUCCUCCUCCUCCUCCUCCUCCUGUGCUGUCGUAAAAAUAGAACCGUAGACCUGCAAGCUUUCACUCUGGUGUUUACACCAUCAUGACCCUCCCCACUGCUUUUUCUCCUGACAGUGGGAUUAUUAGUCUCAUUCAUCUCAGCCUGCUCCCCUUCUCUAUCCUCCACAGGAACCAGCGAGCAGAGACGAGGCAGACGGGUUUUGCCGGGCCAGGCCGGGAGAGGAGGGGAGGUCCUCAGCCCGUUGCUUAGUGACUCCUGUACCAUUUCCGGCCCACGCUCCAGUGGUUGGGGACCCGAGAUGUAAAGCCCAGGUUCCUCAGUGCUGAUGUGUUCAGGUCACACAUAUUGUGUUGAUCAUCAUUAUGCAUCGUUUAUCUGCAAAUCAGUGUGCAGACAUCUUUCGUUUUCUUCUUUUUUUUUUCACCUACCGGUUUAUUCAGGAAGGAGUCAGAACUGAAAUGAAAUGUGCAUGCUUUAGUCUCUAGUCUCUUUUCUUUCUCAAAACAGACAGCACAAAGCAGGGAGAGCAUGAGGAAUGGACAUAUGGUGCUAUUUGAAAGGAUGACAGAACAAAAUCAAACUGUGUGAGACGAAAUUAGCUGAAACGUGCCGAUACAAGUGUUGCAGGGGAAUCAAAGCGCUGCUUUUUGAAUAUGAAGCAUAUCGCAGACGCUCUGCGCGACUGCUUUUUUUUUUAUGACUUUUUUUUUUCUUUAACUAACCCUCCCUCCCUCUCUCCACCUCGCCCCUCCAUCCCCCCUGAGUUCCCUGCUGUCUCUAAAGCUUUUCAAAAAGCUUUUAGUUUGGCAUUUGAUUCUCUGCUCUCCUUUUUUCUUUUUUCCCCCCCCGAAUGUGUCGGGCUGUUUUUUUUUUUCCCCUUCUUUUCUUCUCUUUCAUGCAGAGCACCUUGGCCACUGAAAGGGACUGUUGGAGGGGUCCGCGGUUAUUGAAUGUGAAGCCGGAUGACAUGGAGAAGAGAGGACAUGCAAUGAAAAUGAAACAAGCAGACAUGAGGAGACAGGGAAAGCAAAGGUAAGAGGCAGAAGAUGGAAAGGGACAAAAAGAGAAGAUGAAAGAAGCAGGGGAGAGAGGAAAACGGUGGAGAUGAGAGGAGAAAGAAGAAGGUGAGAGAAAAAGGAAAGAGACAACAGGGAGAAAGAGAGAGGAAAAGAAGAAGAAACAUGAUGAAAUAAAAACACACAGACAAAAAAAAUAAAACAACAGGACUAGAGGACAAAAGGACAUUAAAUAGACAAGAAGUAAGAGAACCUGCAGCGUGGAAAAACGAACUGAGAGAUCCGAGGAAACAAGGUGAUGGGAUAACAGGGAGACGAAGAAGAUGAGUUCAGGGAGGAGAACAUAAAAGGGAAGGAGGGAAAAAAAAACAGAAACAUGCCUGUGAAAAGUGAGAAGAGUGUAUACCAGACCAGAAUGGGGUGGCGGGUGGAGGGGGAGGAGGAGAAGAAGUAGAAGAAGAAAAGAGAGAGGACAGGAGGAGGAUGAGAAACCAGUCGUUCUUUACCCAGGGGGAGGCACAGCGGGGGAUGGAGGGGGCGUACGGGGGGGAGAUGGGCUCCUCAUCCCUCUCUCCCCCAACUGAGCCUCCUUCUUCAAGGUCAGACACACACACACACAUGCACAGAGGCAAGCAGUUCUGGCAGACAUGGUACACACCAGUACACGCACACACACACACCCACCCACACACCCAGUGGAGCUCAAGUAGAAAAGACGCCUUCUGCCUGCCUUUUUCUCUCUGACUCUGUGUACCAAGCAGCCAAGUCUCAGUCAACCAUCUGGAGAUAAAAAAAAAACAUUCCUCCCGUACACACACACACACACCCACCCACCCACACAUAUGAAGUGUGUGUUUAUGAUAAUAGCCCAAAUGCCUCUAUUGAUUCUUUCUCUUCCUGCGUCUCUCUGCAUCUGCGUGUGUGUGUGCGCGCGUGUGUGCAUGUGAAAUCAGUUCUUAUCACUUCUACAUGAAGAACACUUUUCCUUUCUUACCUUAAAAUAUACAUUUGCCACUAAGCUCCAAGUUAGAGCUAUGAACAAUUUGGCAUCCCAAAUAUGCUGUGCAAAUUUAGCGCGGCUAUCAAUAUUAUCACAAUCUUAAUGGUAUUAAUUGAAAAUAUGCCAAAUGUUAUCCAUAUCGUCACUGCAGUUGCUGCUAGCCUAAGGGGUAGUAGUUGCAAGAGUAGUAAUGAUAUUUUUGUAUCUAUAUGUUCUAUGGAUUAAUACAUUUGACAUCUGUGCAUAUUUCAGUUUUGUUAUGUUUCUCCAACUAUUGUUAUGUUCUAGAAACACAUUGACAAAUAAAAAAAGUCUUGUGUCUUUUAUCUUAGUCAUUUAAAUUUAUAUUCUGAACAACAACAUUCAGGUUAAUCAGCACAAGGUGACAUCACUUCCUGUGUCAUUUCUCAUUUCUAUCUGAAAUGGUAUAAAGUCCAGAACACCGCUAUGUUUAAGUAUUGUUGUAUUUGGUGGUAAAAGAUCUUCAUUUAGAGCUUUACUGAAUUUAAUAUCUGUUCAAUGGACAUUUAGUUUCUAUUACUGUGUCUUAUACUAGUAAGAUAUGUCACUUUAAAUCAGCAAUGUCACAUAAGCAUUCCUCCAUCUUUUCAUCUAGCUUUUUUUUCUUUCUUUUUUUUUUGCAAAAUUAGUUACUGACUGAAACACUUUUAUUCUGAACAGAAAAUGAUUCAAACACAUAGAAAAUCUGGCUAGACAGGUAAAGCCGUUGCUUGUCCCUGUUUCCUGUGAACGUGUCACCACACCUCCUGUGUUGCUGAAACCGAGCAGCAGCUGGGGCUUUAAAAGGAGCGAAUAUUGAGACAUGGCACAAAACAAACAAAAACAGAGACUGCUCCCAGAAAAUGUCAAACGCGGACAUGAUGUAAGUACCAGGCUGGAUGUUUUAUCCCUCAAAAAAAAACCUCACUCAUUUCUCACUCACUUCAGUUUUUAUCUCAAUCUGACCUGAAUGCCUUCUUGCACAUGUUCCCUACAAGGUUUGUGCCAAACUUCUAAAGGAAGUUUUUUUUUUUGUGGCUUUCUUUCAUUUCGUGAUCUUUCCCUUCCCUUUCCUCUUUUCCAGAAAGAUCUGGGGGGUUUUUUGGACAUCAAGAUGAAGACCCCGUCAACACGGGAAUGUUUUUUUUUUUCUGGAAAGGCUCGUCGUUUUUAAAAACACCUCCACGCUUGACUGUCUUCAGAAGCGUUUCCGGCCACAUGGAAACACUGAGACACGAGGCCCAAAAUGCUAUUUUUUGCACCUCCAGGCCUGUUGGCGGCGCUAAACACGGCGCACGCGGCAUGUGAGUAAAGCCUCCACGUGAGUUUAGCGGUGAACACAACACAAGAAAACAAGAAAAGUCAGAGUAGAGUCUUUUGUAGGACUUUUUGCAGAACUGUUAAUGAGAUUCUCCAACAGCUGCAGCACCACUAAGAAAAUACAAUCUACCAUUAUUGUUGUUUUAUAUGACGCAUAUGACCCAUUUGGGGUUACAGGUCACGUUAGGGGUUGGGAAAAUAUGUCGCCGUUUUCACAAAAGAGAUGUUUUUCACUGUCCACACGAAUACAUUCACUCUGGAAUGUUUUGGCUCCCCAAAAACGGCGUCUCCAUGUGGGUGUGGGGCAAAAACAGCUAAAUGUUUUUGCUUUGUACUUAUACAGAGCGUUAUCUAAUCCAGAGGACUCCAAAGCACUUUACACGACAACAGUCGUUCAUCCGACAACUGAGACAGAGUGAGUUGGGGUUCCCGUAUGGACGGGGGGCUAACAGUUGUCUUGGUAUUUUCCCACAUGAGCUGUGGCUCUCUGCAGCUCCUCCAAAGUUGCCAAUGGCCUCUCAGCUACUUUUCAGAGUAAGGCUCUCCUUGUCCGGCCUGGCAAAAAUGUGAAAUACUGUGACUAACUUUCCUUUCACUUCCAAUGACGUUUGCAUGUUUUGACAAAACAUGAAAAAAAAUGAAAAGUGUGUCCAGUUUCGUCUUGCAUGUCCUGCAGAAAGGCGUGGUUCUGUAGCUGAAGCCUCCCGGGUCGUAGUUCCUCUGGAGGCUAAAAGAGGGGAAGGCCAGUCAGACGCUAACACACUUAAAAUAGAGUGGCGUUUUUGGUUGUUAUUUUACCAUCGGAUCAUGGUAUCGUAAUAUAUACUAUAAAAUGCUGCAAAACUUUUCUUCCCUUUACUGUCUCUCAUGAAAUCGCAUUAAACUUUUUCUAAGUUAGUACUGCCAAAACAAAUAUCUAAUAACUUUAUGGCUUUACAGGUCUGAAAGGUUAAUUCACAAUUCUUGAGUUAAGUGGAGACAGACCUGUGGAUGUAUUUUGUAAGUCAACACUUCAAGCAUACCGCUACUCUGAAUUACAUCAUGGAGAAAUCAGCCUAGAUAUCAGGAGGAGAUGUAUGGACCUUCGCAUGUUUGGUUGAUCCCUGGGAGCAAUUUCCACAUACCUGAAGGUGCCGCAUUCACCUGUACAAACUGUAAAGUACACCAGCUGUGUAGGAGGAAUAGGCCAAAAUCCCAGCAAACUGUGUGGAUUUUCAUCCAAGACAUACAGCUUAAAAGGCAAUCCUACCAAAUAUUACAGAAGUCUGACUUUGCAGGGACAUGAAGCAAUUUAUCUUUGAAAAUCCUUUCUUAUGAAAUCUGGCAUUUAGCAACUAGAAAUACCUCUUGUUAUCUUACAUGGUCUUAAAACAGGAGAAGUUUAAUCUGAUCAUGUGAGACAGUGAGAAUUUCUUCUCUUUUUUUUUGCAUGCCUUAAUAUCUGAUUUCAACUUUAUUUCAAGACAUGAGACAUCAUGUUUUAGCAUUAGGACAUAGCUUUUACAAAUACAGCUAUUAAAUUAAGAUAUUGUUGAGCAGGAGAAAAGAUCCGAAGUGUUAAAAAGCUUUAAUCAGAGAGCUUCCUCUAACACAUCCAGCCUCUCCUUUUCAGACUAAAAUUGUCUCCUGCACCCCCUCCACCCUCCUCUUACUCUCAUGUUUUUUUUUUUUUUUCCUUACUCCCCCCUCCUUCUUCUUCUUUUAUAACUGACUACAAAUUUACUGCUGGUCAUUACCAGAGGCAGGGUCAAUUCCCCAAACAAUGUGUUUGGUGCCACCAUAAAAAGGGUGUUUUUUACGGCAUGUAGCGGUAAAAUGCUAUUAAACAGAUAAAACACCUGCAACGAGCAUCAGGAGGAUUAUAAAAAGAAUUGCCUUGAUAAACUCCACGUAUCUGCGAGAUGGCACACCGGCAGUUCUUGCCUUCGCGGCCGGGGGAUGGAGGAGUGGGGGGGGGGAGGAUUGCAUGUGCUGCUGAACACAUGGAGGAGACGGGCCUGCGUGACUCUGCAGCGCCACCAUGUGAACAGACGUGGAGGACCGGGCAGCCACUCUGAGAAGGAAUAUUUCUAAACAAGCAGCGAGAUGUGUCAAAAAGGGGACAUUAUUAAAGCUAAAUCCAGUGGUGUGUUCUUUAACACUAGAUGUACACUAACAGUCAAAAUAUGGUGGAGUACCUAAAGUGCACAGUAAAAAAUAUUGGCUAAUACUUUGUGUAUGUUAAGGUUAGUGACGUCACAAGAGCCAAACACCCACGCUAUGGAAAUCACUAUGUUCUCUGUGAUAGACAUGUCUAUGUUAGAUGUUACAUACAUGUCACAUGUGAACACAGGAAAGGAUGGACCUAAUGUAUGUUAGACAUAUAUACCCCAUACUGUAAGUUACAUGAAAUCUAUAAAUCAUACAAUAAUGCAGGAAAACACAAUAAAACUAAAAAGAUUUGAAUGUGUGAUAUUGUGUGCAUCAAUCUGAUGUCACUUCUGCUUGCGCUGUGGAUAAAAAUUGCAAACAUGAACACAGAACAUAUUCGCUCCGGUGGAAGCAACUCGCGUAAAGCCCGUUCGCUGGAUGCUAUCUGACUCAAAGCUGAGAUCUUUCUUUUCUUUUCUUUUUUUUAAUUUUGUCACUGAAUAACCUAAGACUGUCCAAACUCAGAACCUUGCCGUUCCACUUUUGUGUGUCUUCGUGUUUACAAAAAUGUCUCAAAAUGCAUGGAUAAUUCUAAUAUUCUGCUCAAAUUUAUGCAGCCGUACAACUCAACACCUUUGAGGAAGGACCUGGAUUCAAACUUUUUAAAUAAAGAGGAAAAUAUAUGUAAGAUAUAUACAAACUUAAGUACUCAACAGGACUGUGAUCCGUUGCCAAAUGAAUGCCUUUUAUGAUGUCACCAUAGGCAUGAGUGAGAGGAAGCUUUCCGGGAGUUUUGCUCUUGCUUAAAUAGCAACUUGAAACAAAACUGGAAAAAAAAAC